rnacentral:lncRNA from 1 species
GCAUUUUAGUAGCACAGAUAAAAUUAAGGAAGAGGAGAACUUCUGUCGUAAAGUAAUUUUUGAAAACAAAUUGUGAAGCUACUGAACAGGACCUUUCUUCAAAGAAAAUUCCCGUCAUGUCAGAAAGACUUUGGCUGCAGAAAAUCACAACAGACGAGAGAUAAUGCGAGAGAAAAAUAAAACCAUCCAAGGAGGACGUCACUCUGGAACUUCCUGUUAUCAGGGAGUGCGAUCAGGAUGCUUGGGGCAAGGUGGAGUCCUGCUCUGUAUCCAUGCUGGAGUGCAGUGGUGUGAUCUCAGUUUACUGCAAUUUCUGCCUCCCAGGUUCAAGCGACUCCCCUGCCCGAGCCUCGUGAGAAGCUGGACCACAGAGUUUUGCUCUUGUUACCUCGACUGGAGUGCAACGGCGCAAUCCUGGUUCACCGCAACCUCCGCCUCCUGGGUUCAAGCAAUUCUCCUGCCUCAGCCUCCCGAGUAGCUGGGACUACAGACGCACGCCACCAUGCCCAGCUAAUUUUUUGUAUUUUUAGUAGAGACGGGUUUCACCAUGUUAACCAGGAUGGUCUUGAUCUCUUAACCUUGUGAUCCACCCGCCUUGGCCUCCCAGAGUGUGUCUAGUGAUACCUUGUUAUAAAGUUCAUCAGAAUAAAAUAAAUUCCUGGCUGAGUCUCCUGUCUGUGUAGAGCUUGCAUGUUCUCUCUCUGUUUAUGUGGGUUUUCUCCAGGUACCCUGGUUGCCUCCCACAUCCCAAAGCUGUGCACUUCAGGUGAACUGGUGUGUCUAAACUGUACCAGUCAGAGCAAGAGUGUGUGUGUGUGUGUGUGUGUGUGUGUGUGUGUGUGAAUGUUCCCUGAGAUGGGACAGCAUCACGUCCAGGGUUGGCUCUCACUUUGCAUUUUGAGCUGCCGGGAUGGGCUCCAGUCACCAGCAACCCUGAGCUGGAAUAACUGGGUUGAAAAAUGGAGGAAUACAAAUUAUUAUAAAAUAAAAAUUUGUAAAGUAUAUGAUAAUUACAUGAAUGCAUAACAACAGACACAGUUUCCAAGAACCUCUCUCUGACGUUAAGUAAGGAUUUACUGUAUUUUCAUCACUUACAUUGAUUUCUGCACAAAGUUUUUCUUUUUCUCUCUUUUAAACAUGCUUUUAAUUCCUUUGCCUAGCCUCUUGAUUCUGAUUUCUCUUAUUUGGGUAAGUUCUAGUUUGCCCAUUUUCACAUUGAAGUAGGAGGCCCAGAAGACUAUCCUUAAACGUGCCAUAAAUGCCAUAUAUUUGUACCCUGAGGCUUAGUUUCUG